rnacentral:rRNA from 1 species
CCUACGGGGCGCAGCAGUGAGGAAUAUUGGUCAGUGGGCUUACGCCUGAACCAGCCAAGUCGCGUGAGGGAAGACUGCCCUAUGGGUUGUAAACCUCUUUUGUCGGGGAACAAAGGCGGAGACGCGUCUCCGGAUGAGUGUACCCGAAGAAAAAGCAUCGGCUAACUCCGUGCCAGCAGCCGCGGUAAUACGGAGGAUGCGAGCGUUAUCCGGAUUUAUUGGGUUUAAAGGGUGCGCAGGCGGGAGAUCAAGUCAGCGGUAAAAUGUCGGGGCUCAACCCCGGCCGGCCGU